AAAGCCCAAGAAAUGAGAACCCCUUCUUGAGAACCUCAGUGAGUCCAUAGUCUGGAAUUUCAUCCUUACUUAGCGUCACUUCCAGCUAGUUAUAGUGGGGCAGGGCUUUAGUUAGGCUACCCAUUUUCAUUGGUACUAAACCAGACGGUACGGGGGGUCCCGCCAUACAUCCAUGCAGGAUUACCAUUCUGUAAAUGCAUAUAUGCGUGGUGGCCGCUGCCGGCAACUAGUGCCGUUCACUAUUCCAUGCAAAAUCCCUGAACCUGCCUGAUAUGAUAGGUUUGUAUGUGUGGUAAGAUCCAACAUACAACAACGUUUGUUAGCGUCUAUGCUUACCCUAUUUAUCUUGUCUGAUUUUGUUACACUUGCGGUUCGAGUACUACUCCUUUCGGGAGUAUUCGAUAGACAUACUCUUAAAAUGUUAGGAGUCAGAACUCUUUCCAGUGCAUAUUUUGGGCUGAAAUUUCUUUUAUUUUUAACUACAUGGUUUGCAAAAGUUAGCAUUCUACAUUGAAAUUGAUUGGUGGGCUUUUAGGAAAAAGGUUCAGGGACACGCUCUGCAAGCAGUUAGAUUUUGCGCCUGUACAUAAAGGUAGACUAUAUACAAGUAUCAUAAUCAAACUAUCUGUAUAUAUUAUAUCCUAUUUAAAUAUAUUAAAUAUAUUUUAAUAUAUAUAUAUAUAUUCAUAUAUAUAUAUAUAUUUAUAUAUAUUUAAAUAAAUAUAUAUAUUUAUAUAAAAAAUAUUUAAAUUAUCUUCGAGCAAAAUUUAACCGCAUUUUUUCUCAAUACAACAUUAAUUAUCAUACAUCAUUAGAUAAUACACUACAUAUUAUCAUAUAUCUUGGUUGUAGCACCCACUUUUUUUUUUCUCAUAAUGGGUAUAUUAUUAUAAACAUUUGUAGGUCACACUUACUCUCUUAAAAAUUUGCAUAAAAAAAACGUGUACCAAGCGAAUAUCGGGCACCUUAUAUGGACUUACGAUAAAAGAUAUUUUCUCGUUAGGUCUAGUACCAAAAUGCAUGUUCCAAACUAAUUGAUGAUUGUUCUUUCUCAUCACAUCUUGUUUCGUCGCUGUUUUUUCGUUUUUACUAAAGAUUUAAAUUAGUUAGUUAUAUCAUCUUACUUGGAAGGUCAUUUAAAUCAUUCUUUUUUUUAAUCAAUUAUUAUUUACAUUUAAGUCCUUGAACAUAUCAAUUUCGAUAUAGAAUACUAAUUUAUUCUAAGAAUCUGAUCUCUCUCGGACUUUCAUCUUGAAUCACAGUCAGUUCUUUGGAAAAUGUUCAAAAACAAAAAGAAGAAAAAAAAAAAAAAGAAAAAAAAAUUACGGGUAUAUUCGUAAAAGGUAAAUGUUUUUUCCCGUGGUAAUAAAGUAUCCCCUUUGUUGAACGAAAAAGAAAAAAAAAAAUAAA